rnacentral:rRNA from 1 species
GACGAACGCUGGCGGCGUGCUUAACACAUGCAAGUCGAACGCUGAAGCUCAGCUUUUGUUGGGUGGAUGAGUGGCGAACGGGUGAGUAACACGUGAGUAACCUGCCUCCUUCUUUGGGAUAACGCCCGGAAACGGGUGCUAAUACUGGAUAUUCACUGGUCUUCGCAUGGGGGCUGGUGGAAAGGGUUUUUCUGGUGGGGGAUGGGCUCGCGGCCUAUCAGCUUGUUGGUGGGGUGAUGGCCUACCAAGGCUUUGACGGGUAGCCGGCCUGAGAGGGUGACCGGUCACAUUGGGACUGAGAUACGGCCCAGACUGCUACGGGAGGCAGCAGUGGGGAAUAUUGCACAAUGGGCGAAAGCCUGAUGCAGCGACGCCGCGUGAGGGAUGGAGGCCUUCGGGUUGUGAACCUCUUUCGCUCAUGGUCAAGCCGCAACAAUGGUUGUGGUGAGGGUAGUGGGUAAAGAAGCGCCGGCUAACUACGUG